rnacentral:rRNA from 1 species
CGAUUGCGGAUGGGCAUGCGGAUGAUUAGCUAGUAGGUGGGGUAACGGCUCACCUAGGCGACGAUCAUUAGGGGUUCUGAGAGGAAGGUCCCCCACACUGGAACUGAGACACGGUCCAGACUCCUACGGGAGGCAGCAGUGAGGAAUAUUGGUCAAUGGGCGCUAGCCUGAACCAGCCAAGUCGCGUGAAGGAUGACAGAUCUAUGGUUUGUAAACUUCUUUUGCAGGGGAGUAAAGUGCGACACGUGUGUUGUAUUGCAAGUACCCUGCGAAUAAGCAUCGGCUAACUCCGUGCCAGCAGCCGCGGUAAUACGGAGGAUGCAAGCGUUAUCCGGAUUUAUUGGGUUUAAAGGGUGCGUAGGCGGGUUAUCAAGUCAGCGGUGAAAUUUUUCGGCUUAACCGUAAAAUUGCCGUUGAAACUGGUGAUCUUGAGUGCGAGCGAGGUAGGCGGAAUGUGCCGUGUAGCGGUGAAAUGCAUAGAUAUGGCACAGAACUCCGAUUGCGAAGGCAGCUUACUAGUACGCUACUGACGCUGAUGCACGAAGGCGUGGGGAUCAAACAGGAUUAGAUACCCUGGUAGUCCACGCAGUAAACGAUGAUUACUAGCUGUUUGCGAUAUACCGUUAAGCGGCCGAAGCGAAAGCAUUAAGUAAUCCACCUGGGGAGUACGUUCGCAAGAAUGAAACUCAAAGGAAUUGACGGGGGCCCGCACAAGCGGAGGAACAUGUGGUUUAAUUCGAUGAUACGCGAGGAACCUUACCCGGGCUUGAAAUGCAUCUGACCGAAGUGGAAACACUUUUUCUAGCAAUAGCAGAUGAGUAGGUGCUGCAUGGUUGUCGUCAGCUCGUGCCGUGAGGUGUCGGCUUAAGUGCCAUAACGAGCGCAACCCUUGCCGUUAGUUGCCAUCAGGUUAUGCUGGGAACUCUAGCGGGACUGCCACCGUAAGGUGUGAGGAAGGUGGGGAUGACGUCAAAUCAGCACGGCCCUUAUGUCCGGGGCGACACACGUGUUACAAUGGGCGGUACAGAGGGAAGCUACCCGGUGACGGGAUGCUAAUCUUUAAAACCGUUCUCAGUUCGGAUCGGAGUCUGUAACUCGACUCUGUGAAGCUGGAUUCGCUAGUAAUCGCGCAUCAGCCAUGGCGCGGUGAAUACGUUCCCGGGCCUUGUACACACCGCCCGUCAAG